UAGAUAUCUGUUAACAAAUGAUUGAACGUUAUGUUUUAGGUAUGGCCAUGUAGUGUUUACAAGGAACGGAAGAAAGAUUGGAGAAAAGGAAAUAUCCAGAUUAAGUGCACGAUACCCUGCGAUUGGGAUGCAUUCAGCUGGAGAAAAAGUCAAAGUUAUACUUGAUGCAAAGAUGCCACUGAUGUGAAUGAACUUCAAGGGACAAUUGUUUACGGAGUUUCUACAUCUAUACACUACAAUUAUCUAGUAUACGAUUAUAUUAUUAUAACAUGUUCAGUGUUUAUACAUAAUACAUGUACUACACCUGUACUGCUACUGUGUUCAGCUUUACAUUUGAACAUAAUUUGGUGAUGCUAGUAAAUGAUAGUUUCACUAAUACUAGUAAAAGAAAAGUCAGGUAUGAAAUAAUAAUGCACGCAUAAUUAUACUGUGCUGUUAUUCUCUAAUUUUGACUACCUUGCAUCAAAUGCUGGCAUGUGCUUUCAGUUUCUGAUUAUUUUAUAUUUCAUAUGUUCAGUUGCAUUCAUAAUGAUUAGUACUUAACUGCAUUAAAUGACACCUAUUUUAUUUUCGUGACUACUGUAACUAAAACAUAAACAUUGACAUAAUGAAAACUGUUAAUUUAAAGUUCUUUAAUAUGAAAAUGCGACAUUCACAAAGUAUAAAGAACAAUUUAUAUGUCGAGAACCAGACUUCAGUUUCAUUUUUCACCCAAUGUGCAUUUUACAUUACUUUAUGCGUAUAAUUUUGAUAUAAAGUUAUGAAACAACUAUUCCUAACUUAUAGUUAACUAUUUUAUGAUAUAUAAUUUCGAAAAUGAAAUUUAAUGUACAUACGUAUCCUUUAUGAUGUAGUGAAUUGCGUUAAGUAUAUUAUCUGAUGGGAUUUUCUCGAAAAUAUUAUGCAGAUAUAUUUUCUAUUAUGCACUCUAGCGAGAAAAUUGUUUGUACACUGACUUUCUGUUUGUUUCUUUAAUGUUCGGAAUUAUUUGUUUUUUAUUUGUAAAUGUAUUGCUGUAUUAGUCCAUUUACUAAACAAAAUAGCGAGGAUAUUGCGACAAGAUUCUUUCUGUUUAAUGAUUAGUUACAGAGAUUUUCAUCAUGUAUACUUUUGAAUUAUUGAAUGAAAUGACACAGUGAAUCGCUACAAGACAAUAUAUAUUCAUAUGUU